AUGAUGUGUGCUAGACACAUUUAUGCCAAUUGGAGGAGGAAGCACAAGGACCAUGAAUUCCAGAAAAGAUUUUGGGCAAUUGCUAAGUCUGGAAACAGAGAGGAUUUUAAUUACAACAAGGCCAAGCUCGCACAACUUACUCCAGAAGGUGCUAAGGACAUCAUGAGGACAGAGCCAAAGCAUUGGGCUAGGGCAUUUUUCCCACCUGGAGCAAACUGUGAAUCAGUUGAUAACAAUCUGUGUGAGUCAUUCAACAAUUCCAUUAUAGAAGCAAGGUUCUAUCCCAUUAUCUCACAACAAGAAAUGAUAAGAAAGAAGGUGUUGGUCAGAGUGCAAGAGCAGAGAUCCAAAAGUGCGAAGAGGAAGGGUAAAAUUUGCCCCAAUAUUUUGAGGAAAUUGAAUGUCAGUAUUAAGAUGAUACAGUACAUUGAGGUGCUAUGGAAUGGCAAGGAUGGCUUUGUGGAGAAGAAACCUGACCUAUUUCUGAUAAGCCUAGGCCUAUGGCAGCUGGCUACAUUGCCAUGCCAGGAGCUAGGAAAAACAACAAUGAUAGGACGAGAGAAGAGGGUGAAGCACCUAAGGAGCAAAAGCAGCAAGCUCACAAGCUCCAACAAUCUCACAAGCACUAGCAGGGAGAGGAACAAGGAGAGGAUCAGGGAGAGGAGCAUCAACAACAGGGAGAGGAGCAGCAACAAUAGGGAGAGGAGCAUCAGCACCAAGGAGAGGAGCAGCAACAGCAGGGAGAGGACCAGCAACAUCAGGGUGGGGUGCAUACUUUUCUGCAAGUGGCAAUUGCUAAAGAUGUUUUCGAGCUAA
rnacentral:rRNA from 1 species